rnacentral:rRNA from 1 species
AGGCUUAACACAUGCAAGUCGAGGGGCAGCAUGAUUUGUAGCAAUACAGAUUGAUGGCGACCGGCGCACGGGUGAGUAACGCGUAUGCAACUUACCUAUCAGAGGGGGAUAGCCCGGCGAAAGUCGGAUUAAUACCCCAUAAAACAGGGGUCCCGCAUGGGAAUAUUUGUUAAAGAUUCAUCGCUGAUAGAUAGGCAUGCGUUCCAUUAGGCAGUUGGCGGGGUAACGGCCCACCAAACCGACGAUGGAUAGGGGUUCUGAGAGGAAGGUCCCCCACAUUGGUACUGAGACACGGACCAAACUCCUACGGGAGGCAGCAGUGAGGAAUAUUGGUCAAUGGCCGAGAGGCUGAACCAGCCAAGUCGCGUGAAGGAAGAAGGAUCUAUGGUUUGUAAACUUCUUUUAUAGGGGAAUAAAGUGGAGGACGUGUCCUUUUUUGUAUGUACCCUAUGAAUAAGCAUCGGCUAACUCCGUGCCAGCAGCCGCGGUAAUACGGAGGAUGCGAGCGUUAUCCGGAUUUAUUGGGUUUAAAGGGUGCGUAGGUGGUGAUUUAAGUCAGCGGUGAAAGUUUGUGGCUCAACCAUAAAAUUGCCGUUGAAACUGGGUUACUUGAGUGUGUUUGAGGUAGGCGGAAUGCGUGGUGUAGCGGUGAAAUGCAUAGAUAUCACGCAGAACUCCGAUUGCGAAGGCAG